rnacentral:rRNA from 1 species
GACGAAGGAUGCAAGCGUUAUCCGGAAUCAUUGGGCGUAAAGCGCACGUAGGCGGCCUGAUAAGUCGGAUGUGAAAUCCCUCGGCUCAACUGAGGACGUGCAUUCGAAACUGCCAGGCUCGAGUAUGGAAGAGGGUCGCGGAAUUCCCGGUGUAGAGGUGAAAUUCGUAGAUAUCGGGAGGAACACCAGUGGCGAAGGCGGCGACCUGGGCCAAUACUGACGCUGAGGUGCGAAAGCGUGGGGAGCAAACAGG